rnacentral:rRNA from 1 species
AACGAACGCUGGCGGCAUGCCUAACACAUGCAAGUCGAACGAGCCCAUCGGGUCUUGUGGCGCCCGGGUGCGUAACGCGACGGAACCUGCACUUAGGUUCGGAAUAACUCCACGAAAGGGGUGCUAAUACCGGAUAAUGUCUUCGGACCAAAGAUUUAUCGCCUUUGGAUGGGCCCGCGUUGGAUUAGCUAGUUGGUAGGGUAAAAGCCUACCAAGGCGCCGAUCCAUAGCUGGUCUGAGAGGAUGAUUAGCCACUCUGGGACGGAGACACGGCCGAGAAUCCUACGGGAGGCAGCAGUGGGGAAUGUUGGACAAUGGGCUAAAUCCUGAACCAGCAAUGCCGCGUGAGUGAUGAAGGCCUUAGGGUUGUAAAGCGCUAUUACCCGGGAUGAUAAUGACAGUACCGGGAGAAUAAGCUCCGGCUAACUCCGUG